rnacentral:rRNA from 1 species
UACCCGCAGCACAAGUGGUGGUCAUUAUUAUUGGGCCUAAAGCGUCCGUAGCUGGCUUGUUAGAUGCCUGGGUAAAUCGAUGCGCUCAACGUAUCGAACUCCGGGUAGACCGGCAAGCUUGGGACCGGGAGAGGCGUGAGCUACUCGAGGGGUAGGGGUAAAAUCCUGUAAUCCUUCGGGGAGGACCAGUGGCGAAGGCGGGUCUCUGGGCAACAACUGACGCUGAGGAGCGAAAGCGUGGGGAGCGAACAGG